CUGUAUUUAACUUGGUAGAACUUAUUUUUUUAUUGACGUACACAAGCUUAACUGUACGGAAUACCGUGAGUUUACAGAAAAUCUUGAGUGCAUUGUACCUGGCUAAGUUGCUACUGCAGCUAGCUAACGGUACUGUACGACUACAUUAACAAACAUCUGUUUAGUUCGUUAAUCCGACAACAUUUCUAGGGCACCAUCAUCAUUUCUGGACAAUGAAUCUCAGCUUUCCCUGACUGUAAGAAGAACCACAGUGCAAGUAUUUAAAAGGCUGUUAUGCAGUGCCAAGCAUGUUUAGGAAAGAAGGCUGUGGAGAACCUCAAGUCUUAAAACAGGCCCCAACCCACAGCAAACUGCAACUACCAGUUGGGACAGCGACAUGUCUUCCAUUCUGAUGCUGGUUCACCUUUUGCCACCCUCAAGUCAAGGCCGCAAAACACCGGGAAAGAUCUCAGCGAGAAAAGCAUGUGAUUGUCUUGUGAAAUUCAUCAAGACCGGUACCAGUAUCCAAGGGCACUUGGAUACCAUUGGAGAGAGCCUCCAGCCAUAUCUGCUUGUUGUUGGGCCAAGGAGAAGUAGGGUCCAGUCUUGUUUUAUUGUUAUUGACAAACAUGCUCUACCCUGUAAGGCCUCUAAUUCACUGGCCUGUGUUGAUGAGCUUUUCAAAGCUCACUUUGUCUUUGGCACCUCAUACUGUCAGGAACUUACCAAUGUGUACAACUUUCUGCAAACCACUGUCUAUGACAUAGAUGUUGAAACCACCAAGGUGAAUCCUAGAGUGGCUGAGUUAAGAGCUAGAAUGCUCCAGUGAGCAGAUGAUUUGUUUCAUAUGUAAAAGGGGGCAUGCUAGUGCCAAUGCCCUUAUAAGGCACUUUAAGUUAGUUCAUGGCCUUUGUCCAGGCAAAAGUUUGAAGUUAAAAUGUGCUCAAAGAGGUUGUUCACAUGUUUACCAUAGUUUUUCUGGAUUACGAAAGCAUCUCAGCAAGUGUUGUGCGAUUGACCGUUCACACCUCGAUUAUGGUGAAAGCUCAUCCAACGCCAACUCCAUUUCACUAGGGGAUGUAGGUGUUUUACCAAACCAAAAUUCAACUUGUGAGUCUGUACUCCCAAAAACAAAUAUAGAAAACAGUUGUGCAACAGUGGUAGCCGAACUUAAAGUUGUUGGUGUAGCAGAGACAACUAUUAACUAUGUUGUUAGUGCUCUAGAAGAAGUGGUUGGAGACGUUUAUAGUCAAACACAAGAGUCUGUGAAAAAGAGCUUAUCUUUAGAGGAGCCCAUAAAAAGUUUGGUUGAGUCUCAAAUUGAUCAGUGUUUUGAAAAAAUGCAAAAUCCUUUUGUGGCAUUAAACACUGAGAGUAAGAGAAUGCAGUACUUUUCGGACAAAUGGGGGAAAAUAGAUCCUGUUGAAUAUGUUCUCGGUACAAGAUUUGCUACACGGCGUAAUAGAACAAUUGGAACUUUCGCCCAAACCAUUGUUAAGGAUAAAUUUGUAUAUAUACCAAUUAUUGAGACAAUACAGUCGAUUUAUAAGCACCCUAACAUUAAAGAUAUGAUGAUGAGGGAUUCACAACAAAUACCAAAUUUUCUUUAUGACAUACAAGAUGGAGAAUUAUUUAAGAAUCAUGCGCUCUUUUCAAAACAAAGACAUGCUGUUCAGAUCCAGCUUUUUUUGAUGAAUUUGAAUGCUCAAAUCCCCUUGGAUCAAAAAAGGGAAUACAUAAAUUAGGAGCUAUCUAUUUUACCCUUAGAAAUAUUUCCCCUAAAUACAAUUCGAGUUUUCUAAAUAUUCAUUUAGUUGGUUUAUUUCAUUCCUUAUUUGGUUUUGUAGAAUCUUUCAGUGCUAGGUACUGUUGCCGCUUUUGCCUACUAGAGAAAGAAGACUUUCAGACAGAGUUCAGUGAAGAUAGUCCAAAGAUGUCAGUGCGAACUAAAGAACUUCAUGCUGAACAUUGUCAGAGUAUGCAGAACAAUCCCAGUCUACCUUAUGUAAUGGGAGUAAAAAAGUCUUGCCUUUUAAAUUCGUUGCAAUAUUUCCACACCACUGCAAAUUUUUCAGUUGAUAUCAUGCAUGAUAUAUUAGAGGGUGUCGGACAAUAUGAAAUGAAAUUACUCCUUCAGCACCUGAUUGACAAUUACACCACACCAGCAGAAGUACACAGAAGAAUUCAGAGUUUCAACUAUGGCUUCUUGGAACAAAACAACAAACCUCCUGGUGUAGCAUUAAGAGAGGGUUCCAAUGACUUGGGCUUAAAUGCCACCCAGAGCUGGUGUUUACUGCGUCAUCUACCCAUUAUGUUUGGAGAUCUUGUCUGUCCUAAUGAUCAUCACUGGUAUUUGUUUAUUUUAUUGCUUCAGAUAGUCAAUAUAGUGUUUUCUUCAGUUAUAUCCACUGGUAUCACUAUUUAUUUGAAACACCUGAUUGCAGAGCACCACAGUUUGUUUAAGCAUUUGUUUCCUGACAAGAACUUGUUGCCAAAGCAUCAUUUUAUGGUGCAUUACCCCAGUUGUAUGCAGAAAAUUGGACCAUUGCUACAUAGUUGGUGCGUGCGUUAUGAAGCGAAGCAUAACUUUUUUUAAAAGCAGUUGAAAAGCUUUAAAAACAUAACAAAAACAUUAGCAAAAAACACCAGUGCCAAAUCGCUUACAUUUGGCAAACAUUUGAUCCAAAUGACAUGAAAUUAGGUCCUGGGAAAAUGACUCCCUUAAAUGAAAUGGAAGUUGGUGCUGAGAUUGCGGAGAAACUUAAUGUACCUAUGUGGACUAAGGUUCUAAAUGUAAAAUGGGUCAAGCGCUGUGGAAUUACUUACCGUUUAGGAUUAGCAGUUUGUGUUCAAGUUCAAAAUGAAAUGCCUGUAUUUCAUGUAAUCCAGAAUAUUGUUAUCAAAGAUGAGCAGAUCCUUUUGAUUACAACUGCACUAAAAACGUUUUGUUUAGCUGAACAUGUCAAUUCUUACAAAGUUGCACAUACUGCAGAAGCACCUUCUGUUUUGGAGAUUAGGGAUAUUUUGCACCACAAGUUGUUUGAUAUUCUUAUGUCUUAUGGUUUGGAUUCUGAUUUGUUUAUUGUACCAUAUUGUUUCAUAUAAUUCUUCAUCCUUUCUCUUACAUUAUCACUAUCACAAUUUUCUAUUAUUUUAGUAUUAUUGUUUUCAUUAUUUGUUUAUUUUAUGAUCACAAGUGAAUUAAACGGGGUGCUAAUGUUUUUAUUAUUUUAGUAUUGUUUUCAUUAUUUAUUUAUUUUAUGAUCACAAGUGAAUUAAACGGGGUGCUAAUGUCUUUAUUAUUUUAGUAUUGUUUUCAUUAUUUGUUUUAAGCUC
ensembl:lncRNA